rnacentral:rRNA from 1 species
UACGUAGGAUGCAAACGUUGUUCGGAUUUACUGGGCGUAAAGCGCGUGUAGGCGGCUUUGCAAGUCGGAUGUGAAAGCCCACGGCUCAACCGUGGAAGUGCAUCCGAAACUGCAUGGCUCGAGUCUCGGAGAGGAAGGUGGAAUGCUUGGUGUAGAGGUGAAAUUCGUAGAUAUCAAGCAGAACACCUGCGGCGAAGGCGGCCUUCUGGACGAUGACUGACGCUGAGACGCGAAAGCGUGGGGAGCAAACAGG